CUGAGAGGCUUCUAGUCAAGCUAGAGCCACAGCUUCAUUUUGCCAGGUGUCAUUGAUUUGCAGCAUACAUCAAGCUGACAAAGCAAAGGGCUAGUUCCAUGAGCUGCAACUAUGGAGUUAAUAAAUUGUGAAAACUAUGCAAGACAAGAGGACUCUAAGUUCAUAGUGCAGAGGUUUGAGCAGGAGAGAAAUUUAACAAGCCAGCAGUUUAUUCCAUCACUGCUACAAGCCUGAUCCAAGAACUUUGCAAUUACUCUUGUCCUGAAUUUGGUAUUCUCAGUUGUGACCCAUGGAAGCAUGGUGACAAUCUCUGCUUCACAUGACAAGCUGCUCUGAACCUUUCAGAUGAAAGAAUGGACCAAGCAAAAGAUACAGAUGUUGACUCGGACAUGAGGUAUCACUACUACACUUUCAACUCUGUAACUUGUGUUUCCAUAAUCUACCGUAGGCUCUUAUUCCUGUGACAAUGCCAAGUGACUUAGGAGCCCAAGUCCCAUUUUCAAUAGUGGCUUAGGCAUACAGAAGACUACGUCUCCUUGAAGAACAUCAAUGGGACUUAGAU